GGGGUUGCAGCCUAGUGGUUAGAGCAUUGGACUCACGAGUGAAAGGUCGGGGGUUCGAUUCUCGACCAACUCCA
rfam:Macrostomum lignano uti_cns_0018730, whole genome shotgun sequence.